UACGUACUGUGCGAACGUUAUUCGGAAUCACUGGGCUUAAAGGGUGCGUAGGCGGCUAUCUAAGUAGGGUGUGAAAGCUCUCGGCUCAACCGAGGAAUUGCGCUCUAAACUGGAUGGCUUGAGUGAGAUAGGGGUGUGCGGAACUUCCAGUGGAGCGGUGAAAUGUGUUGAUAUUGGAAGGAACACCGGUGGCGAAAGCGGCACACUGGGUCUUAACUGACGCUGAGGCACGAAAGCCAGGGGAGCGAACGGG
rnacentral:rRNA from 1 species